GAUGAAGAACGUAGUGAAAUGCGAUAACUAGUGUGAAUUGCAGAAUUCCGUGAAUCAUCGAGUCUUUGAACGCACAUUGCGCCCCCUGGUAUUCCGGGGGGCAUGCCUGUCCGAGCGUCAUUGCUGCCCAUCAAGCACGGCUUGUGUGUUGGGUCGUCGUCCCCUCUCCGGGGGGGACGGGCCCCAAAGGCAGCGGCGGCACCGCGUCCGAUCCUCGAGCGUAUGGGGCUUUGUCACCCGCUCUGUAGGCCCGGCCGGCGCUUGCCGAACGCAAAUCAAUCUUUUUCCAGGUUGACCUCGGAUCAGGUAGGGAUACCCGCUGAACUUAAUCAUAUCAAUAAGCGGAGGA
rnacentral:misc_RNA from 1 species